GCCGCGGUAGCCGAGUGGUUAGCAUUGCGUACUGCCAUUCGAAAGGCUCGGGUUCAAAUCCCCCUUGCGACC
rnacentral:tRNA from 1 species